CUUUGGCUUUACUGUGAAAUUUCUCCAUCAAGAUGGGAUGAGCUAAACAGAUUUUUCCAAAAUGCAGGGUAAAAAUCACUUUUCCCUUGGAACUAUGUCAAUGCUAAGUCUCUUAGUGUCUCUGUACCAACAUAUGAGGUUUUUUUAGGUUAAGCCUCCCAGUAGCUUCAGUGCAGAAGAAGAUAAAUACCUGACAAAUCGCAUUUGAGAUGUUCACAAUCUUGAUAGUAACCUACACGGAUAUGAUCUACUUCUAACCGCAUCUGAUGAGGUAUUGGCCAUGGAAAACAAAUUAUUGUUGGUACCGGAGAAUUUGAAGAUAUAAAAUGCGGGCAUACUUAAGAAACAAUAUUAAAUCACCAAGUUUUUAUUUGUAAAUAUUGCUAUCAUUUGGCAUGAAAUAUUCUCUGUUGAUAUUAUCAAUAUUCAAAGCUUCAUAUGUUACAAUAUAACAUAUUAUAUAGUAGUAUUAUAUAUAUCCUAC